rnacentral:rRNA from 1 species
AGUGAACGCUGGCGGUAGGCCUAACACAUGCAAGUCGAACGGCAGCACAGUAAGAGCUUGCUCUUACGGGUGGCGAGUGGCGGACGGGUGAGGAAUACAUCGGAAUCUACUUUUUCGUGGGGGAUAACGUAGGGAAACUUACGCUAAUACCGCAUACGACCUACGGGUGAAAGCAGGGGAUCUUCGGACCUUGCGCGAUUGAAUGAGCCGAUGUCGGAUUAGCUAGUUGGCGGGGUAAAGGCCCACCAAGGCGACGAUCCGUAGCUGGUCUGAGAGGAUGAUCAGCCACACUGGAACUGAGACACGGUCCAGACUCCUACGGGAGGCAGCAGUGGGGAAUAUUGGACAAUGGGCGCAAGCCUGAUCCAGCCAUACCGCGUGGGUGAAGAAGGCCUUCGGGUUGUAAAGCCCUUUUGUUGGGAAAGAAAAGCAGCAGGUUAAGACCCCGCUGUUCCGACGGGACCCAAAGAAUAAGCACCGGCUAACUUCGU